rnacentral:misc_RNA from 1 species
AAUGCACAGGUAGUCCGAGCACCUUUCUCAGACGCGAACAACCGCGGGUCUUUCCAGCGGUCCCAAUGACGGCAGCUACCGCUAAGUUUUUGUACGUGCGCAACCCGGCGCUGUGCUGCUUCCUCAUUCUUACAGGCGCCGUCGUUCUUUUCAUAUGGGCUCGUAUCCACAAGUGGCACCAGCGAGCCCGUAUGGCGGCGCGCUCGCGAAUGAAAGACGUGCGACAUGUUCUCCAGAUGUGCCGUCGACGACCCCGCAGCUGGAACCGGAUUGCCGAGGCGGUGGCGGUGAUGCUAUACAACUCUUGGCCACUAAAUGCAACGGUCUUUAGCGCCCUUCUGACUGUUCACUGCGUUAUGCUAGGUAUCGAACGGCUUCACACUUACCGUAACGGGCCUCGCAACCUCCAACUCUGGACCUACCAGGAGACACAUUUCGACCUCACGUCGAUGGGGCCCUCGCUUGUCUCCCCCGUGCACGACCCGCGCUCCUUGAGCCCGUACGGGCCGCGGUCGGACCGCACGCUGGCGCACUUCUGCGGCCGGCCCACGGCCAGCAGCUACGACGGCUACACCGGCGCGCCGCACGCGGCCUACAUGCACCAUGACGUGGAGCGCGACCGCUACGUGGUGCGCACCUUCGGCCGCGGCGGCAUGCGCGUGGACGAGCGGCGGCGCAGCGGCGUGGGCCGCAGCACCUACGAGGCCUUCUGCGCCGCCCCGCGGAGCGUGCAGCGCGGCACGCCGCUGGCGCCGUCGCCGUGGCUCGACGGCGAGGCCAACUGGCAGCUCGGCGACGCCGCGCCGCGGCACGCCGUCAACGGCGCGUUCAACUUCACUGUGCGUCCUCUCGCCGUGCCGCACGCAGCCGCAGCCGCAGCAGCCACCGGUACCACCGCCAGCCGAAGUGGCAACGCCGACGCGGACUUCACCAAGGCGGAUCAGGGGCUGCGCACGCACUACCGCCGCUACACGCGCGACGAGCUGCUGCAGCGUCACGCACACCUCGACUUCAUCUACUCCUACGUCAAUGGCAGCGACAUCACGCGCAGCUACACGAAGCCGUUUGCGAAGACGUGGGAGUGCUGGAACAUGAUUGCGUCGGUGCAGCUGCUGUGGGGCGAGAUGCAGCGCUCGGCCGACACGGACACCGAGGCGCCGCACAUCGCCGAGGACGCCUUCAGCCGCUACAUCGCCGAGCUGCUGUUCGUGUCGGCGUCGAGCCCGUGCGCCAUGUCGGAGCUGCUAGCGGACGUGGGCGCCGGCAAGGACGCGAUGAAGCGUGUGGAGGCGUCGCUGUGGUGGGCCGCCACGCACCCGAACGGGCCCCGCAGCGUCGAGGACGCACCGCUGCCGCCGCCGGAGAUGACGCUGACGAACAUGGAGCUGCUGCGCGCGCUGGGUGCGGACCUGGAGAGCGUGAAGCCGGACGACAUCGACGCAGACUGCGACGAGCUGCGCCACGGCAUGCGCGGGCUGCUGGAGCACACGCGCAGCUGGCACCGUGGCCGCAUGGCUGUCGUGGCGCCGUACGGCAACGUGCCGCUGUGGCUGAACCACAGCAGGAACUUCUUCAUGCGCUCCCUCUACGCCGCUGCCACGGCGGCCGCAGCGCGCGCUGAGGCGUCGGGUGGUGCCGCUGACGGCGACAAUCCGAGGGUUCUCGGCACGGCCGAGGCGCGUUUCGUCAAGGAGGCGCACACCGGCACGCUGCACUACACGCGCAUCCACAUUGUGGACCAGCGCGCGCUGAUGCCGCCCGCGCCGCUAACGACCGUCAACAGCUACGUCGUCGAACCCUUCGUGUACCGACUGCGCAACGCGUCCUCCGUCUUCAUCUACAUGAACGACGACUACCUCAUCAUGAAGGACGUCGACAUCACCGACUUCGUGAACGAGUUUGGUGGACCGCUGCUGCGUAUCCGCAUCGAUGACCCUAUGGUAUAUAACGAAAGCAACCUAGAGUACUUCCGCCGGGGUCUCGUGUUCAACACGAUGCUUAUGCACCGUGACCUGGACAAGACACCCGCGGACCUGGAGGAGCUUGUGCAGCCGGCUGCUGCUGCUGCUGCCCUGACGUCGGUGGAGGGCGAGGCAGCCGUGGUGCGGCGCGGCGUCGUGCGUGCGUCGUGGGCUGCCUUCGCCGCUGCCGUGGACGCGCGCAGCAGCGUGGCGACGCCGGAAGGUGGUGCGAGGGCCACCAGCACGGCGUGCGCGAGCAACAGCAGCGCUGCUGUGUGUGCGUGGGCGGAGUGCGCGUGGGGCGCCGCUGAAGGAGCGCUGGUGCGCGAUACGUGCGCGAUGCCGCGCGUGUCGACGCAGGGCGAGCCGGCGUGGGCCGCGGAUGCAGCAGGCACCUUUGCGCUGGUGUCUCCGCCGUCUACGACGCCGGGCAGCAGCGAGUGGACGUGGGCAGGCCAGGCGCAGAUGCCGGCGCUCGUGCACUGGGGUCGCCGCGUGCUGGACCGCGUGACGGCAGACCUCAUCGCCCCACGCUACUACCUCGAAACAGCGAAGGUGGUGGUGGUGGAGGAGGAACCGGAGCCUGUGCCUCCAGCGGAGGCGUGGGCAGUUGUAGCGCGAGACAUUACGGCCAUGGCGCAGCUGCUGCGCACGUUGGACCUUGUGCAUGAACAAUCGGCCAGCUCCUCCCGCACUUGCUUACAGCUAAUGCGGCACCUUGAAGUCUGGGCGGCGCGCCUCGCUGGACACGAAUUCCCGACGCACCGCGUGUUCAAGACACAGCCGCGCCUGCGCAAGUACCGCAUGCGGCUCGACAGCCACGCGCCCUACCCACAGUGCCGCAACAUGUGGGGCUACAUCCACAAGCGCUACGCACCGGACCUCAACCUGAACAUGUUCAUGGAGCGCAAACGCACCACGAUGGACCUGCUGCCGCCAUCGACGCACACGGCGCACAUGCUGCGGCAUCCGUGGGCCGCGUCGAGUCAGUACCUGCCGUACCUGAUGGCGAAGCAGGCGUGGCGCAUGCAGCGCGGUGCCGGACUGUCGCCGCUGGGCAACGACACGCCGGUGUUCCCGGUGGUGGACGUGGCGCUGGACAACGAGGACGGCUGCGCGCCGGCCACUUACAUUACGGAGGCAGAGGAAUCAGCGAGGUACCACGAGUUCCGCGACGAUGAUGACCUGAACGAUAAGGUAAUGGACAAAAUUCGGAGCUACCAGGGAGUCAAGCCGUUCACGAACAUCAACUCGAAGUUCUCGAACAACGCGGUCGGCGAAACGCUCCGCAACUUCCUGGAGGAGCUCUUUCCGACCCCCAUGCUGCUGGAACAACACUGGCGCAGCGCACCGAAGGCGGAGGGCGGCACGGACGAGCUGCGGGUAUCGCGGAGGAUUGAUGGGGAGAGCGGUGCGCGUGACCUGCAGUUUGCGCAUGUGGACGUCAACUUCAAGCGCCUGAUGCACCUGCCGCUGAUCCUUGUGAGCAACGACGAGGAGGGCUUCUGCCCGCUGCUGCGCAGCUUGCGGCACGCGUUGCCGAACUUCCGCGGGCGGCGCGUGGUGCAGGUGCUGGUGCCGCCGGCGGACGGCGUGUCGCUGCGCGCGGCGCGUGCGGACCGGCGACACGCCUACCGCGACUUCCUGCCGGUGGCGCGCUGCAGCCUACCGGCUGACCGGCUUCGCCGCGUGACGCUGCCGGCGGACAGCGACGUGGCGGACGUGGUGGUGGCGGGGCUGCGGCUGGCGCGCGAGGACGUGGAGGUGGAGCGGUGGGAGGCGCCGGCGCUGGUGGAGCUGCGCGGGCGGCGCGUGGCGCUGCGCGCGGUGCAGGCGCUGGUGAUCGACGCGCGCACGCUGCACACCGGUGCACGCGGCUUCACGGAGCUGCCGCUCGCGCUGGCCGUGCCGGCCGAGCUGCUGGCGCACGAAGACUUCGCGGAGCACCUGCUGGACACCGCCGCGCAGUCGCUGGUGCGGCCGCCCACGGCAGCCGAGGCGGCCACGGUCGCCGCGGUGGUGCCGAUGGAGGAGGACGGCAGGCGUAAGGAGGCCGCCUCUGCCGAAGACUUCGCUGCGAGCGUGCUGGUGCUGUCGGAGGCAGAUGCGGAGGUGCGUCACACGCACUGGGCCCACGGCGCCUCCGAGCACGACCUGCUGAGCGGGAUGCCGCUGCCGUACGACAAGAUGGAGGACAUGGAGGAGAUGGUGCAGUGGGGCUUCUGAGUGCUGCUGCUGCUGCUGCCAUGCGGGUGAUGUAGCCUCAACACGCCUCCUGUGCAAGCAUGCAUUUUCGCUGGUGAACGGUAAUCUAGGCCUUCGCUUUUUCUUUUUUUGUGUGUGUGUUGCUGCUCUGCUUGAGUGCGCGGUGCCGCAGGGAGCUGAACCCAUUGGGGAGCGCAGGUGAGACGAGGACGUGAUACGUGCUGUGGGCCACGGCGCGCUUUCCGUGUCUGUGCUGCUGCUCUCCUUGUCCUCCAGUGCACCGCUGAGGCGCUCUGGUGGCCCUUUCUUCUUGUAGAGACUUGGGUCUGCCAGCGGGCCAUCGGAGGGAAAGGGGAGCGGUUCUGGCCCGCCACGGCGGCACGAGCAUUCUCGUUCAGAGGCCGACAGGCUGGCGUGAUGCACACUUAUUCCGUGAUGCGGUCGGUCGGGGACGGUGAGGCGCGCAGGCUGUGUCGUUAUACACACUCUUAAUCUCACCUGCAUAGCUUUGCUCUUUCUUCAUGUGCCUGCGUGGGUGUGUUUAUAUAAAAAGAUGCGCAGCUCUUCGCUGAGGCGAUGGGCGUACGCCGUCAAGGGGUGCAGGAAUAGCCG